UAGAGUGCUUGCUUUGGAAAUAAACUUGAAACAACAAAGAGAAAAUUAGCACAGACCCUGCACAAAGGGCAUAUGCAAAUUCGCGAAGCGUUCCAUAUUUUU